UUACGGGAGGCAGCAGGGAGGAAUAUUGGGCAAUGGGGGAAACCCUGACCCAGCAACGCCGCGUGAAGGAAGAAGGCCUUCGGGUUGUAAACUUCUGUGACAGGGGACGAAAGAAAUGACGGUACCCUGAGAGGAAGCCACGGCAAACUACGUGCCAGCAGCCGCGGUAAUACGUAGGUGGCGAGCGUUGUCCGGAAUCACUGGGCGUAAAGGGCGCGUAGGCGGCGCUUCAAGUCGCAUGUGAAGGACCAGGGCUCAACCCUGGGGGGUCAUGCGAAACUGGAGUGCUUGAGUGCAGUAGAGGUAAGCGGAAUUCCUGGUGUAGCGGUAAAAUGCGUAGAGAUCAGGAGGAACACCGGUGGCGAAGGCGGCUUACUGGGCUGCAACUGACGCUGAUGCGCGAAAGCGUGGGGAGCAAACAGGAUUAGAUACCCCGGUAGC
rnacentral:rRNA from 1 species